rnacentral:rRNA from 1 species
GUGGGGAAUAUUGGACAAUGGGCGAAAGCCUGAUCCAGCCAUGCCGCGUGUGUGAAGAAGGUCUUCGGAUUGUAAAGCACUUUAAGUUGGGAGGAAGGGCAGUAAGUUAAUACCUUGCUGUUUUGACGUUACCGACAGAAUAAGCACCGGCUAACUUCGUGCCAGCAGCCGCGGUAAUACGAAGGGUGCAAGCGUUAAUCGGAAUUACUGGGCGUAAAGCGCGCGUAGGUGGUUUUGUAAGUUGGAGGUGAAAUCCCCGGGCUCAACCUGGGAACUGCCUCCAAAACUGCAUGACUAGAGUACGGUAGAGGGUAGUGGAAUUUCCUGUGUAGCGGUGAAAUGUGUAGAUAUAGGAAGGAACACCAGUGGCGAAGGCGACUACCUGGACUGAUACUGACACUGAGGUGCGAAAGCGUGGGGAGCAAACAGGAUUAGAAACCCGGGUAGUCC